rnacentral:RNase_P_RNA from 1 species
CUAGAAACAAUCUUGCACUUGGGGCUCACAUACGAGUAUUUAUUACUCAACUUAGCCUCGGGAAGGUCUGAGAAAAAGUGUGCUCUAUGCUUGUAUAGAGAACAUCCCAGCAGGAUGCUUCAAUAACUGAAGGUGAAAGAACCAGAAAUUCUGUAAGACUUGAUUUCUUGCAUUGGAAACUUUCAUAACUCGCCGUUUUAGUAUAAUUUGCAAGCUGGACAUUUUAAUAAUGACCAGAACUCAAUUCAGACUAAUCUGUUUCUAG